CCUGGUGGUUCUAGCGAGGAGCCUGAACCCGUUCCCAUCCCGAACACGGCCGUUAAACUCCUCAGCGCCAAUGGUACUUCGUCUUAAGACGCGGGAGAGUAGGUCGCUGCCAGGC
rnacentral:rRNA from 1 species